rnacentral:rRNA from 1 species
CCUACGGGAGGCAGCAGUGGGGAAUAUUGGGCAAUGGAGGCAACUCUGACCCAGCAACGCCGCGUGAAUGAUGAAGGUCUUCGGAUUGUAAAGUUCUGUGAUGGGGGAUGAACACAAUGACGGUACCCCAAUAGCAAACCACGGCUAACUACGUGACAGCAGCCGCGGUAAUACGUAGGUGGCAAGCGUUAUCCGGAAGUACUGGGAGUAAUGGGUGCGUAGGUGGGUUAGUAAGUGCGCGGUGUAAUUCCGGGGCUCAACCUGGGCGCUACCGCUAAAACUCUUAGACUAGAGUGCGGGAGGGGAAAGUGGAAUUCCUGGUGUAGCGGUGGAAUGCGUAGAUAUUAGGAGGAACAUCAGGGGCGAAGGCGACUUUCUGGACUGUAACUGACACUGAGGCACGAAAGCGUGGGGAGCAAACAGGAUUAGAUACCCCGGUAGUC